AGGCGCUACGGGUUCGAGCACCUGGAGAAGGCGCUGGUGUCGCGCCAGCAGUACGGCGACGCCUCCUCCAGCAGCGACGACGAGCUCGUGAUGCAGUACAACGGCACCACCACCGCCAUCACAUCUAAGGCCAAAAAGAAGCGUUCCCGGUACAGCAAAGCGGCGGCCAGCAACGGCGGUGGCGGGGCGGCGGCCGUCGUGCCGUACUACGACACCUCGUCUGAUGAGGACGAGCUCUUCCUUAGGGCCACGAGAUAGUCUUCCUGCCUCACCUGCCUCAACUCUUCCUGCCUCACCUGCCUCAACUCUUCCUGCCUCAACUCUUCCUGCCUCAACUCUUCCUGCCUCAACUCUUCCUGCCUCAACUGCCUCAACUCUUCCUGCCUCAACUCUUCCUACUUCAAACAUGGAAAAUUCAUUGUAUUUGCAGUUUCCUUUCUUGGAAUCAUAAAAUCUUUCUGUAAAUUUAUCAUUUAUAUUCCGCCUUUACAACAAGGAAAUUCCUUAAAUUGCUGUUUCCUUUUUUAGAAUAAAAAAAUUCAUCUAUGCUGUGA